rnacentral:rRNA from 1 species
GAUGAACGCUGGCGGCGUGCCUAAUACAUGCAAGUCGAGCGAACAGACGAGGAGCUUGCUCCUCUGACGUUAGCGGCGGACGGGUGAGUAACACGUGGAUAACCUACCUAUAAGACUGGGAUAACUUCGGGAAACCGGAGCUAAUACCGGAUAAUAUAUUGAACCGCAUGGUUCAAUAGUGAAAGACGGCUUUGCUGUCACUUAUAGAUGGAUCCGCGCCGCAUUAGCUAGUUGGUAAGGUAACGGCUUACCAAGGCAACGAUGCGUAGCCGACCUGAGAGAGUGGUCGGCCACACUGGAACGGAGACACGGUCCAGACUCCUACGGGAGGCAGCAGUAGGGAAUCUUCCGCAAUGGGGGAAAGCCUGACGGAGCAACGCCGCGUGAGUGAUGAAGGUCUUCGGAUCGUAAAACUCGGUUAUUAGGGAAGAACAAAUGUGUAAGUAACUAUGCACGUCUUGACGGUACCUAGUCAGAAAGCCACGGCUAACUACGUG